rnacentral:rRNA from 1 species
CCUACGGGUGGCAGCAGUGAGGAAUAUUGGUCAAUGGGCGUAAGCCUGAACCAGCCAAGUCGCGUGAGGGAUGAAGGUUCUAUGGAUCGUAAACCUCUUUUAUAAGGGAAUAAAGUGCGGGACGUGUCCCGUUUUGUAUGUACCUUAUGAAUAAGGAUCAGCUAACUCCGUGCCAGCAGCCGCGGUAAUCCGGAGGAUCCGAGCGUUAUCCGGAUUUAUUGGGUUUAAGGGGUGCGUAGGCGGGAUGCCAAGUCAGCGGUCAAAUACGGGGGCUCAACCUGCGUCCGCCGUUGAAACUGGCGUUAUUGAGUGGGCGAGAAGUACGCGGAAUGCGUGGUGUAGCGGUGAAAUGCAUAGAUAGCACGCAGAACCCCGAUUGCGAAGGCAGCGUACCGGCGCCCGACUGACGCUGAAGCACGAAAGCGUGGGUAUCGAACAGGAUUAGAGACCCGAGUAGUC